CUCCACUCCCAGACUGUGGUUGACCUUGGGUAACUGAAACUGUGGAAGGUUCCACUGCAGAUAAAGUGGUCCUCCUGUGUUCUAUAAUCUCAGAUAUUGCAAAGUCUUAUAAGCAAAAAUGUAACAUGAUGUUAAGAUCUAAAGUGGUGGAGCAGGGAGAUGUUAGUUACACGGGGAGAGCAUGGGAGGGAGACAGAGAAGUCUUGAUGAUGAGGCCACAGCCCAGCAGAAAUCUGAAUGAGCCAGGAAAGUUCUACGCAGAUAUCCCCAGGCAGGUGAAGCAGCAUGUUCAAGGUCCUGAGACAAGGCUAAGCCUGACAGAGCACGAGCAAGCAGAGGGGCUGAGGGAGAAGCAGACAUCCUGCUGA
rnacentral:lncRNA from 1 species